rnacentral:rRNA from 1 species
GAUGAACGCUGGCGGCGUGCCUAAUACAUGCAAGUCGAGCGAACGGACGAGAAGCUUGCUUCUCUGAUGUUAGCGGCGGACGGGUGAGUAACACGUGGAUAACCUACCUAUAAGACUGGGAUAACUUCGGGAAACCGGAGCUAAUACCGGAUGAUAUUUUGAACCGCAUGGUUCAAUAGUGAAAGACGGUCUUGCUGUCACUUAUAGAUGGAUCCGCGCCGCAUUAGCUAGUUGGUAAGGUAACGGCUUACCAAGGCAACGAUGCAUAGCCGACCUGAGAGGGUGAUCGGCCACACUGGAACUGAGACACGGUCCAGACUCCUACGGGAGGCAGCAGUAGGGAAUCUUCCGCAAUGGGCGAAAGCCUGACGGAGCAACGCCGCGUGAGUGAUGAAGGUCUUCGGAUCGUAAAACUCUGUUAUUAGGGAAGAACAAAUGUGUAAGUAACUAUGCACGUCUUGACGGUACCUAAUCAGAAAGCCACGGCUAACUACGUG